CAGAGGUGGCAAGCGUUGUUCGGAAUUACUGGGCGUAAAGGGCGCGUAGGCGGCCAUCUAAGUCAGACGUGAAAUCCCCCGGCUUAACCUGGGAACUGCGUCUGAUACUGGAAGGCUCGAGUUUGGGAGAGGGAUGUGGAAUUCCAGGUGUAGCGGUGAAAUGCGUAGAUAUCUGGAGGAACACCGGUGGCGAAGGCGGCAUCCUGGACCAACACUGACGCUGAGGCGCGAAAGCUAGGGGAGCAAACGGGAUUAGAUACCCCGGUAGUCCUAGCCCUAAACGAUGAAUGCUUGGUGUGGCGGGUAUCGAUCCCUGCCGUGCCGAAGCUAACGCAUUAAGCAUUCCGCUGGGGACUACGGUCGCAAGGCUG
rnacentral:rRNA from 1 species